GGCUUUUUGAUAAUAAUUUAAGGUCUGACCUGCCCAAUGAUUUAAAUAUUAAAUGGCCGCGGUACUUUGACCGUGCAAAGGUAGCAUAAUCAUUAGUUUUUUAAUUGAAAGCUUGUAUGAAAGGUUUGAUGAAAAAAAAACUGUCUUUAUUUAAAUUUUAUAGAAAUUUAUUUUUAAGUUAAAAAGCUUAAAUAUAUAUUAAAGACGAGAAGACCCUAUAGAGUUUUAUAUUUUUAUAAAAUUAUUAUAUUUUAGAAUUUUUUAAUGAUUUUAUAAAUUUUAUUUAGUUGGGGUGAUUUAAAAAUUGAAUGAACUUUUUUAUUUAUAUUUACAUUGAUAUAUGAAAUUUUGAUCCUUAUUAAAGAUUAAUAGAUAAAAUUACCUUAGGGAUAACAGCGUAAUUUUUUUUAGAGUUCUUAUCAAAAAAAAAGAUUGCGACCUCGAUGUUGGAUUAAAAUUAAUUAUUGGUGUAGAAGCUAAUAAAUUAGGUCUGUUCGACCUUUAAAAUUUUACAUGAUCUGAAUUUAAACCGGUGUAAG
rnacentral:rRNA from 1 species